UUGAACGCUGGCGGCAGGCCUAACACAUGCAAGUCGAACGGUAACAGAAAGCAGCUUGCUGCUUUGCUGACGAGUGGCGGACGGGUGAGUAAUGUCUGGGAAACUGCCUGAUGGAGGGGGAUAACUACUGGAAACGGUAGCUAAUACCGCAUAACGUCGCAAGACCAAAGAGGGGGACCUUCGGGCCUCUUGCCAUCGGAUGUGCCCAGAUGGGAUUAGCUAGUAGGUGGGGUAAAGGCUCACCUAGGCGACGAUCCCUAGCUGGUCUGAGAGGAUGACCAGCCACACUGGAACUGAGACACGGUCCAGACUCCUACGGGAGGCAGCAGUGGGGAAUAUUGCACAAUGGGCGCAAGCCUGAUGCAGCCAUGCCGCGUGUAUGAAGAAGGCCUUCGGGUUGUAAAGUACUUUCAGCGGGGAGGAAGGGAGUAAAGUUAAUACCUUUGCUCAUUGACGUUACCCGCAGAAGAAGCACCGGCUAACUCCGUGCCAGCAGCCGCGAUAAUACGGAGGGUGCAAGCGUUAAUCGGAAUUACUGGGCGUAAAGCGCACGCAGGCGGUUUGUUAAGUCAGAUGUGAAAUCCCCGGGCUCAACCUGGGAACUGCAUCUGAUACUGGCAAGCUUGAGUCUCGUAGAGGGGGGUAGAAUUCCAGGUGUAGCGGUGAAAUGCGUAGAGAUCUGGAGGAAUACCGGUGGCGAAGGCGGCCCCCUGGACGAAGACUGACGCUCAGGUGCGAAAGCGUGGGGAGCAAACAGGAUUAGAUACCCUGGUAGUCCACGCCGUAAACGAUGUCGACUUGGAGGUUGUGCCCUUGAGGCGUGGCUUCCGGAGCUAACGCGUUAAGUCGACCGCCUGGGGAGUACGGCCGCAAGGUUAAAACUCAAAUGAAUUGACGGGGGCCCGCACAAGCGGUGGAGCAUGUGGUUUAAUUCGAUGCAACGCGAAGAACCUUACCUGGUCUUGACAUCCACGGAAGUUUUCAGAGAUGAGAAUGUGCCUUCGGGAACCGUGAGACAGGUGCUGCAUGGCUGUCGUCAGCUCGUGUUGUGAAAUGUUGGGUUAAGUCCCGCAACGAGCGCAACCCUUAUCCUUUGUUGCCAGCGGUCCGGCCGGGAACUCAAAGGAGACUGCCAGUGAUAAACUGGAGGAAGGUGGGGAUGACGUCAAGUCAUCAUGGCCCUUACGACCAGGGCUACACACGUGCUACAAUGGCGCAUACAAAGAGAAGCGACCUCGCGAGAGCAAGCGGACCUCAUAAAGUGCGUCGUAGUCCGGAUUGGAGUCUGCAACUCGACUCCAUGAAGUCGGAAUCGCUAGUAAUCGUGGAUCAGAAUGCCACGGUGAAUACGUUCCCGGGCCUUGUACACACCGCCCGUCACACCAUGGGAGUGGGUUGCAAAAGAAGUAGGUAGCUUAACCUUCGGGAGGGCGCUUACCACUUUGUGAUUCAUGACUGGGGUG
rnacentral:rRNA from 1 species